AGAGUUUGAUCCUGGCUCAGGAUGAACGCUGGCGGCGUGCCUAAUACAUGCAAGUCGAGCGAACGGACGAGAAGCUUACUUCUCUGAUGUUAGCGGCGGACGGGUGAGUAACACGUGGAUAACCUACCUAUAAGACUGGGAUAACUUCGGGAAACCGGAGCUAAUACCGGAUAAUAUUUUGAACCGCAUGGUUCAAAAGUGAAAGACGGUCUUGCUGUCACUUAUAGAUGGAUCCGCGCUGCAUUAGCUAGUUGGUAAGGUAACGGCUUACCAAGGCAACGAUGCAUAGCCGACCUGAGAGGGUGAUCGGCCACACUGGAACUGAGACACGGUCCAGACUCCUACGGGAGGCAGCAGUAGGGAAUCUUCCGCAAUGGGCGAAAGCCUGACGGAGCAACGCCGCGUGAGUGAUGAAGGUCUUCGGAUCGUAAAACUCUGUUAUUAGGGAAGAACAUAUGUGUAAGUAACUGUGCACAUCUUGACGGUACCUAAUCAGAAAGCCACGGCUAACUACGUGCCAGCAGCCGCGGUAAUACGUAGGUGGCAAGCGUUAUCCGGAAUUAUUGGGCGUAAAGCGCGCGUAGGCGGUUUUUUAAGUCUGAUGUGAAAGCCCACGGCUCAACCGUGGAGGGUCAUUGGAAACUGGAAAACUUGAGUGCAGAAGAGGAAAGUGGAAUUCCAUGUGUAGCGGUGAAAUGCGCAGAGAUAUGGAGGAACACCAGUGGCGAAGGCGACUUUCUGGUCUGUAACUGACGCUGAUGUGCGAAAGCGUGGGGAUCAAACAGGAUUAGAUACCCUGGUAGUCCACGCCGUAAACGAUGAGUGCUAAGUGUUAGGGGGUUUCCGCCCCUUAGUGCUGCAGCUAACGCAUUAAGCACUCCGCCUGGGGAGUACGACCGCAAGGUUGAAACUCAAAGGAAUUGACGGGGACCCGCACAAGCGGUGGAGCAUGUGGUUUAAUUCGAAGCAACGCGAAGAACCUUACCAAAUCUUGACAUCCUUUGACAACUCUAGAGAUAGAGC
rnacentral:rRNA from 4 species